CAAUAGCGUAUAUUAAAGUUGUUGCAGUUAAAAAGCUCGUAGUUGGAUUUCUGGUUGAAGCGACCGGUCGGGCGUUGAUUCGUCUGCACUGGAGUCGGUUUUGGCCAUCCUCUAGGAAAGUGCGUCUGGUAUUAAGUUAUCGGGCGUAUGAUCCUGGUCUUUUACUGUGAAAAAAUUAGAGUGUUUAGAGCAGGCCUUCGCCUUGAAUACAUUAGCAUGGAAUAAUAAGAUAGGACUUUGGUCUAUUUUGUUGGUUUGCAGACCGAAGUAAUGAUUAAUAGGGAUAGUUGGGGGUAUUUAUAUUCCGAUGUCAGAGGUGAAAUUCUUAGAUUUUCGGAAGAUAAACUUAUGCGAAAGCAUUUACCAAGGAUGUUUUCAUUAA
rnacentral:rRNA from 1 species